rnacentral:rRNA from 1 species
UACGGAGGAUCCAAGCGUCACUCGGAAUUACUGGGCGUAAAGCGUGCGUAGGUGGUUUGUUAAGUCUGCUGUGAGAGCCCCGGGCUCAACCUGGGAAUGGCAGUGGAUACUGGCAAGCUAGAGUGCGGUAGAGGGUAGUGGAAUUCCCGGUGUAGCGGUGAAAUGCGUAGAGAUCGGGAGGAACACCAGUGGCGAAGGCGGCUACCUGGACCAGCACUGACACUGAGGCACGAAAGCGUGGGGAGCAAACAGG